GAUGAACGCUGGCGGCGUGCCUAAUACAUGCAAGUCGAGCGAAGCGGGGACGGGUGAGUAACACGUGGAUAACCUCCUAUAAGACUGGGAAAACUUCGGGAAACCGGAGCUAACCCGGAAACUUAUAGAUGGAUCCUAGCUGCAUUAGCUAGUUGGUAAGGUAACUGCUUACCAAGGCAACGAUGCAUAGCGGACCUGAGAGGGUGAUCGGCCACACUGGAACUGAGACACGGUCCAGACUCCUACGGGAGGCAGCAGUAGGGAAUCGUCCGCAAUGGGCGAAAGCCUGACGGAGCAACGCCGCGUGAGUGAUGAAGGUCUUCGGAUCGUAAAACUCUGUUAUUAGGGAAGCGGUACCUGAACAGAAAGCAACGGCUAACUACGUGCCAGCAGCCGCGGUAAUAC
rnacentral:rRNA from 1 species